rnacentral:tRNA from 1 species
ACAAAGUGUAGCUUAAACUAAAGCGCCUAGUUUACACCUAGAAGAUUUCAUAAAAACUGACCACUUUGA